AACCUGGUUUGUCCUGCCAGUAGUGUAUGCUUCUCCUAAAGACUAAGCCAUGCAUGCCUUCGAAUAAGAAGAAAGCAAUUCUCUCUGAAUCUGCGAACGGCUCCGCAAACCAGUUGUAAACUAUAGCAAGCAUGCCCCUAGCUUUCGGGCUGGGGGUUAUAAGGAUAACCCUGGUAAUUCUGAGGCUAAUACUUGAUCGUAACACCUGACCGACCGGCAACGGGAGGUUGGGGGACGUGUGGAUUAUGCGCAGAAUACGCCGGGAAAGGAUGCACGUUCAGACCACCAUAACAAACGGUUGCAGGGGGACCCCGCAAGGGAGAAGCCUGUUUCCGGGUGGCUCUUGCUUUGUGCUUCUGACCUAUCAACUAGAUGGCAGUGUAAGGGACAUGCUAUGGUUACAACGGGUACAGAGGAUAAGGGUUCGAUCCUGGAGAGUGGGCCUGAGAGAUUGCUCACACUUCUAAGGAAGGCAGCAGGCGCGCAACGUUCCCAUUGGGCAAUGCCCGAGGGCGUUAGGGGACAUAUGAAUGCCUGUCUCAUGAUGGGCACACAACACUGGUCUGCCGAAAACGUGCAG
rnacentral:rRNA from 1 species